rnacentral:rRNA from 1 species
CCUACGGGAGGCUGCAGUGAGGCAUCUUGGUCAAUGGGCGCGAGCCUGAACCAGCCAAGUCGCGUGAGGUCCUCCUUUCCUAUGUAUUGUCCCCCUCUUUUUUCUUUUCUCCCCCUCCUCCCCUCGUGGCGUUCCGCGCGUCCCCGCCGCCCCCGCCUCGGCUCCCUCCGUGCCCGCCGCCGCGGUCCUCCUUAGGAUGCGCGCGUUAUCCGGAUUUAUUUUUUUUACAGUGUUUUCCUUCGGAAGAUCACGUCAUCGGUAACCUUGAGAGGCUCAACCUCUUCGCGCCGUUGCCACUGGUUUUCUUGAGUGAGCGAGAAGUAUGCGGAAUGCGUGGUGUAGCGGUGAAAUGCAUAGAUAUCACGCAGAACUCCGAGGGCGAAGGCAGCAUACCGGCGCUCAACUGACGCGCAUGCACGAAAGUGUGGGUAUCGAACAGGAUGAGAGACCCGAGUAGUC